AUUGAACGCUGGCGGCAGGCUUAACACAUGCAAGUCGAGCGGGGUGAUGGUGCUUGCACUAUCACUUAGCGGCGGACGGGUGAGUAAUGCUUAGGAAUCUGCCUAUUAGUGGGGGACAACAUUUCGAAAGGAAUGCUAAUACCGCAUACGUCCUACGGGAGAAAGCAGGGGAUCUUCGGACCUUGCGCUAAUAGAUGAGCCUAAGUCGGAUUAGCUAGUUGGUGGGGUAAAGGCCUACCAAGGCGACGAUCUGUAGCGGGUCUGAGAGGAUGAUCCGCCACACUGGGACUGAGACACGGCCCAGACUCCUACGGGAGGCAGCAGUGGGGAAUAUUGGACAAUGGGCGGAAGCCUGAUCCAGCCAUGCCGCGUGUGUGAAGAAGGCCUUUUGGUUGUAAAGCACUUUAAGCGAGGAGGAGGCUACUAGUACUAAUACUACUGGAUAGUGGACGUUACUCGCAGAAUAAGCACCGGCUAACUCUGUGCCAGCAGCCGCCGUAAUAC
rnacentral:rRNA from 1 species